rnacentral:rRNA from 1 species
CGUAGGAUGCAAGCGUUGUCCGGAUUUAUUGGGCGUAAAGAGUUCGUAGGUGGUUCGUUAAGUCUGAUGUUAAAGACUGGGGCUCAACCCUGGAAGUGCAUUGGAUACUGGCGGACUUGAGUGUGGUAGAGGCAAUCGGAAUUCCAGGUGUAGCGGUGAAAUGCGUAGAUAUCUGGAAGAACACCGGUGGCGCAAGCGGAUUGCUGGGCCAUAACUGACACUGAGGAACGAAAGCUAGGGGAGCGAAUGGGAUUAGAUACCCCAGUAGUCCUAGCCGUAAACGAUGGAUACUAGGCGUAUCGGGUAUCGACCCCUGAUGUGCCGCAGCUAACGCGAUAAGUAUCCCGCCUGAGUAGUACGGCCGCAAGGUUG